AGGAAUACUGGAGGAAGAGAGCAGGCUUGAGUAAACAGUUUCUUUACAUUAAAUAACCAGCUCCUGGAAUCAGGACUCCUUUGUCAUAUGUGUGUUCCCUGAAUUAUUUCAGUGCAUAGGCCCUUCCCUGAGAGCUCUGUUCAUGAACAUUUUUGUGCAGUGGCUUCUUCUUUGGUGAUGUUUUACACACGUGCUCAGCAAGGCACCCAGUGAAAUUAGUAAAAAGACUUGACAAGAGAAGUGGUUCUUCUAACUUUGAGCUGCUUCCAUCUCUUUCCUUUGUCUCUGUUUUAGUGUCAUAAGUCCCAUAGAUGGGAAGUCCAUGGAGUCUAUAACAAGUGUGAAGAUAUUCCAUGGAUCAGAGUAUAAAGCAAAUGGAAAAGUCAUCAGAUGGACAGAGGUGUUCUUCCUAGAAAAUGACGACCAGCACAGUUGCCUGAGUGAUCCUGCAGAUCACAGCCGACUGACCGAGCAUGUUGCCAAGGCUUUUUGUCUUGCUCUGUGUCCCCACCUGAAGCUUCUGAAGGAAGAUGGAAUGACUAAACUGGGACUACGUGUGACACUUGACUCAGAUCAGGUUGGCUAUCAAGCAGGGAGCAAUGGCCAGCCCCUUCCCUCGCAGUACAUGAACGAUCUGGACAGCGCUUUGGUGCCGGUGAUCCAUGGAGGGGCCUGCCAGCUCAGUGAGGGCCCCAUCGUCAUGGAACUCAUCUUUUAUAUUCUGGAAAACAUCGCAUAGACAGAGAGGACUUCAUUUUUUUCUGUUCAGACCUGUUGCAACAGCAGUCAUACCCAAAUCAUUUGCACUUUAGAACUGGAAAAUUAAGAUUUUGUUAACACUAUUAAUGGGGGAGGGGGUGGGGUGGGGGUUUGGGGGACGGGGUGGGAAAGGGUGGUUGGGGGGACAGAUGUUCCAUAAUUCUAAGUCUUCUAUGCAUUGUCCACCGAGAAGAUCUGGGCAGCUUCUGUUACUGCACCACAGUUACGCUAUCCUUGCAGCUAAUCCCCUUCUGUUACUGUUUAGACAAAAGUUCUGCUCCUCUGUUUUAAGACUUACUUUUGGUCUUGUGCUCAGAAAUGCUCAGAUGGGUACAGCCAUCACCAAGGGUGGGGUGGGAGGGCAGAGGGGAAAUAAACAAUGAAGCAUCAGUCUUGAACUCUUUGUAUAGGAUGGAUAUAAAAAGGAUAGUUUCAUGCUGAUCUUGUCCCAGUUACAUCACAGCGACUUCAAGUAGGAGUCACACUUAGAGUUUUUGUUUUUACUAGAUUAUUUAUUGAAGCGAAUCAAAGACCCAAAGGAUUCUCUCUCUUCUAUCCAAGGAAGGGCGACUCAGUGUAAAUGAGGUCACCUGGAUAGUAGAGCCAAGUACAGGAUCUCUCAAGAUCUGCCAGAGUGGAUGAGACACUGAAUUGGGCCUUUCUGUGAAAGCUGACAGAAUAUACCCGAGACAUUUUUAGUUAUAAUAUACACUAGAGGUAUUUUAUUUUAUGCCAUGCCCUGCCACUUGCAGGAUCUUAGUUCCCUGACCAGGGAAUCGAACCUGGGCCCUGGCAGUGAAAGUGCAGAGUCCUAACCACUGGACCACCAGGGAAUUCCCUACACUAUAGAUAGGUAUUUUAAAAAAUAUUUUAUUGAGAAAUAAUUUAAACUUCCAGGAAAGUGGCAAGUUAAAAAAACCACCACCACCACCACCACCACCUAUGUAUGCUUUACCCAGAUUGAGCUAUUGUUCACAGAUUAACUCAUUUGCUUUAUCAGUGUUCCUUUCUUUCCUUUUCUCUCUCCAUAAAAGAUUGAGGCACUUGAGAGUAAGUUGCAUACAUCAUAGCCCUUUAUCCCUAAAUACUUUAAUGUUUGUUUCCUAAAAAUUAGCACAUUUUCUUACAUAACCAUAGGACACUUCUCAACUUCGGUGUGAUACUUUAACCUAGCUUCGGUCCAAUAAUGUCCUUCACAGCAUCUUUCCCCUCAAGUGAAGCUUCCAGCAUGAUAAGACAGACAUGGUAAGUUGUUGUCAUGACUCACCUUUAUCUUUUAUGUCAUUGAUAUUUUUGGUGAAUAAGGUUCCCCCAACUCAUUUCUUAACAGAAAAUGCCUCAUUUUGCAUUCAGUUGGUAUUUCCUCAUAAUUAGGUGAAUUACACAUUGUUGGCCAGAACCCUGCCUAAGUGAUGUUAUGUCCUUCUUAGGACCUCACAUCGGGGGUCACUUAAUGUCCUUCUGCCCCUCACUGGUGGUAAAUUUUCAUCACCUGAUCAAGGUGUGGUCCAGUUUGUCCACUGUGUAUUUUCCCCCUUGGAACAAAUAACCAGUACGUGUAGAGAUACUUUCAGAUCAUGCCGAUAUCUUGCUCACUGAAAUUUCCCCUUAAAAGUUAGCAUUCUCUGAUGUUUCCUGUCUGAACUGAUCUUUACUACGAUGGCUAAAAAUGAUUUCUCAAUUCCAGCACUUUCUCUGCCUUUACCAGUUACACUUGAUUAUCUAUAAGCAAAAGCCCUUCUUCCUUAUUUAUUCAUGUAAUUAGUUUUCAUUAUGGACUUGGGAUUACUUUUUGAAUGAUUCUAAUUCAUUAUUUUGGUGCUCAAAUGGUCUCAGCUUUGGCCAGAGAGAACCCCUUCAGGUGAGCUCCCACAUCCUUGUGACAUGCUCCUAACAUUUUUCUGAACACUUCCUUUUCUGGCCUAACCAGAUGCCCCAGGGCCAUCUUGGGCUAACCCUGUCCCAGCCUUGGAAUCAGCCUGUUUUUUUUUUUUUAGAGAAAGUGGUAUUAGAAGCCAAGAUUUGGUUUACCAAAUUAUUUACCAAAUAAUAUUAUUUGGUUUACCAAAUAAUAUAUGUGAUGCACUCUGAUCAUUUUCUCCUUCAUUAAGAAUUUAUUUUGGUCACAGACCAAAUAGAUUUCACAACCCACAGUUUGAAAAACACUGCUCUAGGGCAACUCACUUCCUUGUCACUGGCAUCUUCUAAACACCCAGGCCAAGCGAGAGGUUGGUCCCUCUGCAGUGAAAGCACAACUCCAAGAAGCCCCUGGAAGCUAGUGUGGGCCUCUGAGACAGUGAGAGGCUGCUCCUCAGUGGCUGGAGCUGGGCUUAGCACUUGGCAAAUACAGGCUGUGGAACUACGUUUAGGGCAACAGCUGUUUUCUGAGGCCCAAGUGUGUCUAGCUAGGUUUAGUGCUCUUCCGUGGUGGGGGAAAUCUACAUUCUACAUCUGCCUCUCCAUAGCCUUCGCUGAUGGUGGCUGCAGAGAGCUGGGAUUGUGACCUUUCCCGUAGACUUGGAGCUUCUAAGGCAAGAAAAGAAUGGGUGCCCACCGAACACCAGCUUGUAAGGACCGAGCCCUGGGACUGUCACCCCCCCCAAACCUGACAGGCACAGGAUGCACUUGUUAAUAACAGGGGUAUUAAUAACAGGGUUAAUAAUAAUAGUAGUAGGUAUUUGGGUGUAACAUCUAGUUUGGUCUAAAUAUAAAUUGGAGCUUCUGUAGGAGCUGGCUCCCUUGGUCCUGUCCUAGAGAAGUUACCUUUCUUCCUGCCACCUAAAUAGAUCUUGCAGUUAUACAUACCUUCUGGGAUCAGUGCAAACUUUUAAAUUCCCCUACUCUGGCCCCGCACAGUCAGGUCCAUUCUCAAUUGCAUAAAAUGUCCUUUAUGUUCAGUAAAAUCACCUUGUGGAAUUGGGCAUAAAAUAGCCAAAGCUAGUUCACUGUGUUCCCUCGUUUCAUUUUUGUUUUUAUACACUGUAUGUUGUAUAGAACUGAAACAUCACAUUUCUAAAUAAGGCAGAUUCUUCUAUAAUGUAAACUUAGAUUGAGAUAUAGAGAUCCUUAUAAAGAGGAACAGAAUUGCCAUUCUGGUAACGUUAAAUUUUUAAAAACUAAAUUCUUACCAAAUGCUCGGCAAUGUAGUUUCUCCAUUUCUUUUUAUCAACUCUUAUCUGAGCACCUACCGGACUCUAGGGCUACAGAAAUAUGCAGCUUUGCCCUGUGUAAGUUCCCAUCUAGUGUCUUCCCUCAUGCACAGUGUUUCCUGAAUGCUGGUGAGCUCAGAAUUUCCAACCGAAUUUACUUCUAUCAUAACUAACUAGUCAUCUGGGGAAUAAUUUAUGCAUUUAAUGCAUUUCACACAACAAGCAAGCCAUCUGCUGAACACUGUUUCUAGAGCAAGUGUGUGAUGGUUUCUGUUUUAAUAAUAAUGCUAAAAUAAUUUUAAUAAUGACAGUAAUGGGAUUUGGAGGAUUGUAAUGUAGCCAGAAGGGAUAAGGAGCAGAAUAGGAAUGAUAACGCCCAUUUUAGAGUUUGGGAAGCUGAGGCCCAGAGAAGGGAAGAAUCUAUCUGUGAUGGAACUGGACCAGGUGCAAGCUACCUGCCUCUACCUUCUACCAGUCUCAACCCCACAGUUUCAUCUUAAAAGCAGUUGCCUUUACUUAAGGGGCAAGAUCUGUUAAGAGCUGCCCACACAUAUUUGGAAAACAAGCACUCAAAAAUUGGGAAGCAACAAUGCAGGUUUUGGAAUAGUGCUAUAAAAAAGGAAAAUAAUAAAACAAACUAGUCUGCCCUUUAAUUGUGAGCAAGACUUCCUGAUUGAUUCUGAGAAAAAUUUCUUCCAUAUUUUAUUCAGUUCACUAAUUCAGAAGAAAGUGUGCCUUGCACUAAAUUGAAAAGAAAUUUUAAAAUUUAAAAAUGAUUUGGGUUGUGGCUGGUUCUCAACUGCCCAUAAGUCACUAAUCUGCGAUGCUGAGUUGCUGCAUUUGGAUAAAUCUUUCUUAGGACAAGAUGAAGCUGGGCAGGCUCCUCCCAUGCCAGUGACCCCUGCAUGCCGUGGCUAAAACAAAGGCCUUUUAAGAACCUUAGUCUCUAAGUCCAGUGGGCGGCUUUGUCUUGCCUCUCUCAGCCUGGAAGUUCUGUUUUCCAAAAAGCAAAGGGCAGUUAAGCAGAAUGAAAUUGAACAGGUUACGGUGGGAAAUCUCUGAGCCACAGAAAACUUCCUAUCAAAUUUCUAGCAGAGGCCUGAGUUUAGAAAUUCCUAGGGCUGGCAGAAGCUUCAAGCCCUCUUAGCACUGGUGAGUUGGGUGCAAACCCUGAGGAGAAGACUAGGUUGAGUCAGGAACCCUCUUUGCCGCCCCUCUUUGCUCUAGGCCACCUUAUGAGGGCUAACAACCCUGCUUUUCAUUCUAGAUGGCUGCUUGUAUGACACAUAGAUAUGACUGCAUUUAAGAGUUAAGGCUCACAUCUAUGGAAUUUUUGGUAGUUCACUCUGAUACGUAAGACUGGCCAGCAAGCUCUCAGAAAAGUGAUUUGUUGUCCCUGCUCUGUUACCCACGAUAAGCUCUGCUCUUAAGGGCAGGGAAGCAUGGUCCAGCUCCAUCCCAGAAAAAGACACACACACAAAAGCUCAAUCCCGGAGCUGUGCAUUUGCAAUACUAUAGUGAUCAGUAAGUUGAAUGCAUCUGCUUUACGUAAAGCCUUAAAAAAUUAUCUUCAGGAAUGCUUUGUUGAACUUAAUGCUUAAAAAAAAGGGGGGGAAAAGAUGCGGUAUUAAAGUUUAUUUCUAAGAGAUGUAGAAUAUUGCAGUUUUGAACAUUAAAUCUAUUGCAACUACAAAUCCCUCCAUUAUCUCCAUCCAUUCAGAAAAACAAAACCAAAGGAGAAUUUCUUGGGAAGAAACUAAUUUCCCUAGGUGAUUAGCUGAAGAGGCAAGGCUUCCCCUGCCCCGUCUCAAAAGAGGAAGCCAUAGCAGCAGUUUCUGUCAACUGACAAAUGUUACUGCCACUCUGGCUUUUAAAAAGUGACAGGGAGCAGCAGGGCUUUUGUUUAGGACUUUGAUGGUUACUUUGUGAGGAGAGUGUAAAUCCCCUACAAUGAGUUAAUUAGACCUAGUUUCUUAAAUAAAAUCAGCUACAUAAUAUAUACACACAUAUAUAUAUUUUUUUCCUAGUUAACAUAAUAUUCUUUCAGUCUUAGAUACUUGGACCAAACCCAAGACAACCCUACCCCUACUUCCCACCACACAGUCCUGAACAAACUUCCACUGAGAGCUUUGAGAAGCAGGGAGGCUAGUGCAGCAGCUGUCAGGAACCAAGGCACAGGCACAGGCAGGGCAGGGGGUAAACUGAGUUGUGUGGGAUAGGCUGCCACUGGCCACCUGGAGUCACAGAACCCUGCCCCCACCCUAAGCAGGGGGUGUGGUGGGGUGUCCAGAUCACACUUGAGUUUUCCCAUCCCUUACAGUUCUAUCUUUUAAAGGCACAUCUAGAAAUGGUGCAACUGCGG